GAUGACGAAACUAAUUUGAAUUAUUGGGGGUGCUCAUACAAGUUGAAUGCUUCCUCUCUUUUGGAACAGCUUGACGCAAAGUUUUUCUCAAUUUGAAAAACUUCAUUUUCUCCUGCUUCUGUGAUAAAGACCAGAAAUUCUUCUCCUCCCUCAAGAGUAGAACGAACCCAGAUAAGACCCAACCCCAAUACCUCCUCCCUCAACAACAGA
rnacentral:lncRNA from 1 species